UACGUAGGGUGCAAGCGUUAAUCGGAAUUACUGGGCGUAAAGCGUGCGCAGGCGGUUAUGCAAGACGGAGGUGAAAUCCCCGGGCUCAACCUGGGAACUGCCUUUGUGACUGCAUAGCUAGAGUACGGUAGAGGGGGAUGGAAUUCCGCGUGUAGCAGUGAAAUGCGUAGAUAUGCGGAGGAACACCGAUGGCGAAGGCAAUCCCCUGGGCCUGCACUGACGCUCAUGCACGAAAGCGUGGGGAGCAAACAGG
rnacentral:rRNA from 1 species